CACGGUAAAAGAAAAGGUCUGGGGUGACCUCUCCAAACGUUACCAGGAUCAUGACAUAAUGGCCUUUCUGGAGGAGGCCACUCUUAUGGAUCCAAGAUUCAAGGGAAAGCUGAGUUCUUCUGAUGAAGUUUGGGAACGACUGAAGGCAGCAGCAUUGAGGGAAAUGUUAGGAGAGGAGGAUGCAGUGCCAGUGGAGGCUCAGGAAGUGGA